CCAAUAGCGUAUAUUAAAGUUGUUGCAGUUAAAAAGCUCGUAGUUGAAUUUCGGGAUUGACACAUCGGUCGUGCCUUAAGGGGUAUGAACUGGUGUAGUCAAUUUCUCACCUUCUGGAGAACCGCGAUGCCCUUAAUUGGGUGUCGCGGGGAACCAGGACCUUUACUUUGAAAAAAUUAGAGUGUUUAAAGCAGGCAUUUUGCUUGAAUACAUUAGCAUGGAAUAAUAAAAUAGGACGGCAUGAUUCUAUUUUGUUGGUUUCUAGGAUCACCGUAAUGAUUAAUAGGGAUAGUUGGGGGCAUUAGUAUUCAAUUGUCAGAGGGGAAAUUCUUGGAUUUAUUGAAGACUAACUACUGCGAAAGCAUUUGCCAAGGAUGUUUUCAUUAAUCAAGAACGAAAGUUAGGGGAUCGAAGACGAUCAGAUACCGUCGUAGUCUUAACCAUAAACUAUGCCGACUAGGAAUCAGACGAUGUUAAUUUUUUAAUGACUCGUUUGGCACCUUACG
rnacentral:rRNA from 1 species